rnacentral:rRNA from 1 species
AACUCUGCAAUAAGCGAAAGCUUGACAGGGUUAUUCUGAGUGAUUUCCGCUAAGGAAAUCUUUUGGCACCUCUAAAAAUGGUGCAGAAUAAGGGGUGGGCAAGCCUGGUGUCAGCCGCCGCGAUAAUACCAGCACCCCGAGUGGUCGGGACGAUUAUUGGGCCUAAAGCAUCCGUAGCCGGUUCUACAAGUCUUCCGUUAAAUCCACCUGCUUAACAGAUGGGCUGCGGAGGAUACUAUAGAGCUAGGAGGCGGGAGAGGCAAGCGGUACUUAGUGGGUAGGGGUAAAAUCCGUUGAUCCAUUGAAGACCACCAGUGGCGAAGGCGGCUUGCCAGAACGCACUCGACGGUGAGGGAUGAAAGCUGGGGGAGCAAACCGGAUUAGAUACCCGGGUAGUCCCAGCUGUAAACGAUGCAGACUCGGUGAUGAAUAGGCUUCGUGCCUAUUCAGUGCCGCAGGGAAGCCGUUAAGUCUGCCGCCUGGGGAGUACGGUCGCAAGACUGAAACUUAA